rnacentral:rRNA from 1 species
UGGCCUACGGGGCGCAGCAGUAGGGAAUCUUCCACAAUGGACGAAAGUCUGAUGGAGCAACGCCGCGUGAGUGAAGAAGGGUUUCGGCUCGUAAAGCUCUGUUGGUAGUGAAGAAAGAUAGAGGUAGUAACUGGCCUUUAUUUGACGGUAAUUACUUAGAAAGUCACGGCUAACUACGUGCCAGCAGCCGCGGGAAUACGUAGGUGGCAGGCGUUGUUCGGAAUAACUGGGCGGAAAGGAUGCGGAGGCGG